AGGCCCGAUGAGCUCAGACAUCGGCAGACGCAUGCUAUCGAUAACGGUCUUGUUUAUUAAUGAAUUAAUUAGUUAGUCGAAGUUAACUAAAAAAAAUACGACAAGCAGCAAAAUCAGCGAAGUCUGCGUGCCCAAGUGGAGUACCCCAACGAAAAGAGGCAGCGCAAAAGUGCAAGAUCAAGACGCAGUCGAAGGCCAGGCAACAAGGCACAGCAACGCAACAAAGACGCAAGCGAAGAAGAAAAGCAUGAGCUGAGGCUGUCGUCGCCAGCAAGCAAGGGAAUCGCGCGGACAAUAAGAGCAGGACAGGAGCAGGGCAGGAGCAGGAGCACCAAAGGAGCACCAACCCAGCGGAGCACCCGAACCGCAGCAGCGGCACCACCACCAUGAGCACGGUGUUCAUAAACUCGCGAAAGAGCCCCAACGUGCUGAAAAAACAAGGCACCGACCAGUGGGUCAAGCUGAACGUGGGCGGCACCUACUUCCUCACUACCAAGACGACGCUCUCCCGUGACCCAAAUUCGUUCCUCUCCCGUCUGAUUCAGGAGGACUGCGACUUGAUAUCGGAUCGGGACGAGACAGGAGCCUACCUAAUCGACAGAGACCCCAAAUACUUUGCACCCGUGCUCAACUAUCUGCGCCACGGCAAGCUGGUGCUCGAUGGCGUCUCCGAGGAAGGCGUCCUGGAGGAGGCCGAGUUCUACAACGUGACGCAGCUGAUAGCGCUGCUGAAGGAGUGCAUCCUGCACAGGGAUCAGCGACCCCAUGCGGAUAAGAAGCGCGUUUAUCGUGUGCUGCAGUGCCGCGAGCAAGAACUAACCCAGAUGAUCUCAACGCUGUCGGAUGGCUGGAGGUUCGAGCAGCUCAUCAACAUGCAGUACACGAACUACGGGUCCUUCGACAACAAUGAGUUCCUGUGCGUGGUCUCCAAAGAGUGUGGCACGACGGCCGGGCGGGAGCUGGAGCUGAACGACCGGGCCAAGGUCCUGCAGCAGAAGGGAUCGCGAAUUCUUGGAAUUUAAUCGCGCUAUGUAUUCACAUACAACCCCUGAAAAUUGAAAUACCGAACUCCUUUUCAUCAACAAACAACUCAUUCCCAAUCAGUAACACCAUCAGCCAUACCGACCCAACACAAAUUGGAUGCAGCCAAGGAAGCCCGAGCCACAGCCACAGCCACAUCACCCACCACAAGCCACACCACACGCGAUCAGAUCAGACUCAGCCACAGGCACAGGCAUAGGCACAGAUCACCCACCAAGAUCAGCCGGAAUCACCAAAGCAGAGCCCGCAGGGAGACUUCGCUUCAUUUGCAUUCGAGACAAAGUUAACAGGAUGUACUCACACCCCCUCUACACAGCCUGUAUCCCGUACCUUGUACCCUGUACCCUGUAUCCUGUAUCUUGUAUCCUG
rnacentral:misc_RNA from 1 species